UUUCUUAAAGUAAUAUAUUACAUUUAAUUUCGACUUAAAAUUUUGUUUAAAUAAAACUAAGAUAA
rnacentral:tRNA from 1 species